AUUGAACGCUGGCGGCAGGCCUAACACAUGCAAGUCGAACGGGUGGCGGACGGGUGAGUAAUGUCUGGGAAACUGCCUGAUGGAGGGGGCUAACUACUGGAAACGGUAGCUAAUACCGCAUACCAUCAGAUGUGCCCAGAUGGGAUUAGAUAGUUGGUGGGGUAACGGCUCACCAAGGCGACGAUCCCUAGCUGGUCUGAGAGGAGGACCCGCCACACUGUAACGGAGACACGGUCCAGACUCCUACGGGAGGCAGCAUGGGGGAAUAUUGGACAAUGGGCGCAAGCCUGAUGCAGCCAGGCCGCGUGUAUGAAGAAGGCCUUCGGUUUGUAAAGUACUUUCAUCGGGGAGGCGUUACCCGCAGAAGAAGCACCGGCUAACUCCGUGCCAGCAGCCGCGGUAAUUC
rnacentral:rRNA from 1 species